GCCCCCGUAGCUCAGCUGGAGAGAGCAACGGACUUCUAAUCCGUGGGUCAGAGGUACGAAUCCAAUCGGGGGUA
rnacentral:tRNA from 1 species